AAGACUUAGAUUUAUGUCUUUGUGGAAAUAUAAAUAACAGGGAAUGAAAUCUUGAAGGUUGCCUGUGAAUAUGAAAACUACAAAGAUUAAAGACAAUGAAUGUUUGGGGUGCCUGGGUGGCUUUGUUGGUUAGGCAUCUGACUUCGGCUCAGG